rnacentral:rRNA from 1 species
AGAGUUUGAUCCUGGCUCAGGAUGAACGCUGGCGGCGUGCUUAACACAUGCAAGUCGAACGAAGCAUGAAAGUGGAAGUUUUCGGAUGGAAGCUUUUAUGACUUAGUGGCGGACGGGUGAGUAACGCGUGGGUAACCUGCCUCAUACAGGGGGAUAACAGUUGGAAACGACUGCUAAGACCGCAUAAUACUAUGACUCCGCAUGGAGAGAUAGUCAAAGAUUUAUCGGUAUGAGAUGGACCCGCGUCUGAUUAGCUAGUUGGUGAGGUAAUGGCUCACCAAGGCGACGAUCAGUAGCCGGCUUGAGAGAGUGACCGGCCACAUUGGGACUGAGACACGGCCCAAACUCCUACGGGAGGCAGCAGUGGGGAAUAUUGCACAAUGGGGGAAACCCUGAUGCAGCGACGCCGCGUGAGUGAAGAAGUAUUUCGGUAUGUAAAGCUCUAUCAGCAGGGAAGAUAAUGACAGUACCUGACUAAGAAGCCCCGGCUAACUACGUGCCAGCAGCCGCGGUAAUACGUAGGGGGCAAGCGUUAUCCGGAUUUACUGGGUGUAAAGGGAGCGUAGGUGGCUAGGUAAGUCAGAUGUGAAAGCCCGGGGCUCAACCCCGGGAUUGCAUUUGAAACUAUCUGGCUAGAGUGCAGGAGAGGUAAGUGGAAUUCCUAGUGUAGCGGUGAAAUGCGUAGAUAUUAGGAGGAACACCAGUGGCGAAGGCGGCUUACUGGACUGUAACUGACACUGAGGCUCGAAAGCGUGGGGAGCAAACAGGAUUAGAUACCCUGGUAGUCC